rnacentral:rRNA from 1 species
AACGAACGCUGGCGGCGCGCCUAAUACAUGCAAGUCGAGCGAGAAGACGUAGCAAUACGUUUGUAAAGCGGCGAACGGGUGAGGAAUACAUGGGUAACCUACCCUCGAGUGGGAAGUAACUAGCCGAAGGUUAGCUAAUACGCGUACGCUCCUUGGACUUCGGUUCAGGGAGGAAAGACGAUACCGUGGGUAUCGCGCUCUUGGAUGGGCGUCAUGCCCUAUCAGCUUGUUGGUGAGGAACGGCUCACCAAGGCUUCGACGGGUAGCUGGUCUGAGAGGACGAUCAGCCACACUGGCACUGCGACACGGGCCA